CACCAGGUUGAUUCUGCCUGACGUAGACGCUAUACUCUAAGAUUAACCCAUGCAUGUUUAUUGAAUAUAAAGAAAAGACGAACAGCUCAGUAACUCUUAUUUGAUUUGAUGUAUUAGGAUUCUAACUAUGUUAAAUUAUAGGUAACAAUAAUACAAUAAGAAUAAGAUCUAUCAGUUAGUUGUUAAGGUAAUGGCUUAACAAGACUAUGACGGAUAACGGUAUUACUUUGUAAUAUUCCGGAGAAGGAGCCUGAGAGAUUGCUACUAAGUCUAAGGAUUGCAGCAGGGGCGAAACUUGACCUAUGAUAUUAUAUUGAGGCAGUUAUGAGUAGUAUUUUAUAAUUAUUGUAGUAUUGUAAGUACAUAUUACAAGAUAAAUCGGAGGGCAAAUCGAGUGCCAGCAGCCGCGGUAAUACUUGUUCCGAUAGUGUGUAUGAUGAUUGAUGCAGUUAAAAAGUCUGUAGUUUAUUUAUAAUAAGCAUUGUAAGGUAUACUGUAUGGUUAGGAGAGAGAUGAAAUGUGAUAACCCUAACUGGAUGAACAGAAGCGAAAGCCGUAUACUUAAAUGUAUUAUUAGAACAAGGACGUAAGCUAGAGGAUCGAAGAUGAUUAGAUACCAUUGUAGUUCUAGCAGUAAACUAUGUUGAAUCAUAGAUAUAUUUUGAUAUAUAUUUAUGUAGAGAAAUUAAGAUUAUAUUGACUCUGGGGAUAGUAUGAUCGCAAGAUUGAAAAUUAAAGAAAUUGACGGAAGAAUACCACAAGGAGUGGAUUGUGCGGCUUAAUUUGACUCUACGCGGGGUAAUUUACCAGGUAUAACAUGGUAUAAUAUUUUAUCAUGGUAGUGGUGCAUGGCCGUUUCCAAUGGAUGCUGUGAAGUAAUGAUUAAUUUCAACAAGAUGUGAGACCCUCAUUUAGACAGAUGUAGUGAUACAUAUGAAGGAGAGGAUUAAAACAGGUCCGUUAUGCCCUAAGAUAAUCUGGGUUGCACGCGCAAUACAAAAUAUUUGAUAUUAUAAGGGAUAAUAUAAUGUAAGAUAUAUUUGAACAUGGAAUUGCUAGUAAUUUUAUUUAAUAAGUAGAAUUGAAUGAGUCCCUGUUCUUUGUACACACCGCCCGU
rnacentral:rRNA from 1 species